UACGAGGGGGGCAAAUGUUGUUCGGAAUCACUGGGCGUAAAGGGAGCGUAGGCGGGUUUCUAAGUCAGGGGUUUAAUCCCGGGGCCCAACCCCGGACAGGCACUUGAAACUGGGAAUCUUGAAUAGUGGAGAGGUCAGUGGAAUUGGGGGUGUAGCGGUGAAAUGCGUAGAUAUCUGGAGGAACACCGGUGGCGAAGGCGGCAUCCUGGACCGAGAUUGACGCUGAUGCGCGAAAGCCAGGGGAGCAAACGGG
rnacentral:rRNA from 1 species